UACAUCUUGCAUUUUAAAUAG
rnacentral:piRNA from 1 species